rnacentral:rRNA from 1 species
UACGUAGGGUGCAAGCGUUGUCCGGAAUUAUUGGGCGUAAAGAGCUCGUAGGCGGUCUGUCGCGUCUGCUGUGAAAACUCAGGGCUUAACCCUGAGCUUGCAGUGGGUACGGGCAGACUAGAGUGCGGUAGGGGAGACUGGAAUUCCUGGUGUAGCAGUGAAAUGCGUAGAUAUCAGGAGGAACACCGGUGGCGAAGGCGGGUCUCUGGGCCGUAACUGACGCUGAGGAGCGAAAGCAUGGGGAGCGAACAGG